UACGUAGGGUGCAAGCGUUAAUCGGAAUUACUGGGCGUAAAGCGUGCGCAGGCGGUUUUGUAAGUCUGAUGUGAAAUCCCCGGGCUCAACCUGGGAAUUGCGAUGAAGACUGCAAGGCUUGAAUCUGGCAGAGGGGGGUAGAAUUCCACGUGUAGCAGUGAAAUGCGUAGAGAUGUGGAGGAACACCGAUGGCGAAGGCAGCCCCCUGGGUCAAGAUUGACGCUCAUGCACGAAAGCGUGGGGAGCAAACAGG
rnacentral:rRNA from 1 species